GCCCGGAGGUGUCAACGCCGAAAUGCAAACUCGGAGAAGCACCCUAAAGGUGCCGGGGCUU
rnacentral:tRNA from 1 species